rfam:Smittium culicis strain GSMNP scaffold-9649, whole genome shotgun sequence.
AAUAAGGUUUUUUUUUAGAUUGAUCAAAACCACUAAGAUUCAAAAAAAAAAUUGCU